rnacentral:rRNA from 1 species
UACGUAGGGCGCAAGCGUUGUCCGGAAUUAUUGGGCGUAAAGAGCUCGUAGGCGGUCUGUUACGUCCGCUGUGAAAACCCAGGGCUUAACCCUGGGCUUGCAGUGGAUACGGGUAGACUAGAGGCAGGUAGGGGAGAAUGGAAUUCCUGGUGUAGCGGUGAAAUGCGCAGAUAUCAGGAGGAACACCGGUGGCGAAGGCGGAUCUCUGGGCCGUAACUGACGCUGAGGAGCGAAAGCGUGGGGAGCGAACAGG